GAGAUUAAUUUAUUUUUGAGUAUCGUCGUCUCGUCACUACUUUUCGUGCUGACGACGACAACGCUCAUUAGGAUAUCCGUUCGGCUCUCAGCAGCCAUUUUUCUCGCAUGUAACACGUUUAAAGCCAGUAUAUCUCUUUAUCAACAUCGUUUGAUUCAUGUUCGUGGUAAUGUAUAUAUAUAUAUGAAUGUGUGUAUACGCACAUAUAUAAACUCAAUGUGAUAACUCUUGCAACUAGUUACUUUAAGACUAGCAAACUACUACUAACAGUAACAACAGUGGAACGAUAACUAAAGAAUAAGACAAGAAGAAGACUGGUACAAGGUGGGCCGAAAGUUCUAAGUUUAUCGCUGUACGUGUAACGGGCUCUCAGUUGAUGUUCGCUUUCGUUUAAUUCUUUUACAUCAGCUGAUACAGUGUAAAAACUGUUUAGGCACGUGAAGCAUCGUUCGGAAGUAAAAGCGAUUCGAUUAUCGUCAUUAACGUUAUUGGCAUCGUCGUUAGGUUCUAACCAAACGUUGAUCGUUCGUUCCAAAGAGGGAGAAAAGGAGAGGAAAGGGUAAGGAAGUAAAAAAAAAAAAUGUAUGGAGAGAGCGUUAAUGCAGAAUUUAACGAAGGCUCCACAACCUGCUUUUAAUUAAUUAAAGCAGACGUGACGACGCCACUGGAAUUGAAGCUCGAGUUCUCGUGAAGCACACAACGGACAACUACGACGAUGCGUACACGCGACGUGUCCUCAUCACGAAUAUUCGUGAUGUCAACGAUGAUUCUAAUUUCCAUUUGGGUUGCUAACAUAUAUUUCAUAUUUUUAUCUUUUUAAAGGUCGCAAACCGAAAGGAAUUUCUUUUAUUUUUUUUAUAAAGAAGUCGCCAAACAAAAAUGUAAUUUUGUUGUUUUCGUUAUCAAAAGAUUAUGAAAAUAAAUGCUCGAUCGUUUUUUUUUUUUUGUAAAAUCAACGUUAAUCGGAUUAUCGGAUUCGUUUAUAUUCAUUAUCAUUCAUGAUUGAUCGAUUGUGAAUUAUUCAAAAGCGCGGGUAAUUUAAAUAUCAAUAGUCGAGUAGUUACGCGAAAAUGAUUGUUUUUGUAGAAAGGAGGAGAAACACGUGCGCUUACAUUGAUGGAGAAGAAGUAGAGUGUGGUAGUGGUCGUAGUGUGUAGUGUAGUAAUAAUAAGAGCAGGAGUGGGAGGUUAAGCUAUUUCGAUAGUGGAGGUGGAAGAAAAAUGACGAAAGCUAAGCGCAAGAAAAAUACAAUUCUUUGAGCGAGAUUUUAAUAAAAAAGAAAAAUACUUCGCGCAUUGACAAAAAACGCGAAUGGACGACUUUGCAAUAGUAAAAACCGUAGAAAAGAGAUCACGUGUUACUCGAUAAGAAAAAAAGAUUAAAAUGUUUGCAACCAUUUAAAAAAAAAAAAAAAAAGGUAAAAGCGACGCCAUGAAAUGCGAGUACGAGGCACAUGGCACGUAGCCCACGAACCGAAACACGUCCAUCACAAAACUUCACGUUUCAACAAAAAUUUGAUUGUAUUAAUUUAAAAUAAUUCACAG
rnacentral:lncRNA from 1 species